rnacentral:tRNA from 1 species
GCCUCAGUAGCUUUGAGGCGGAGCGCCGGCCUACGGAUCCCGGAGUGGCAGGUUCGAAUCCUGGCCGAGGUG